UACGAAGGGGGGCUAGCGUUGCUCGGAAUCACUGGGCGUAAAGCGCACGCAGGCGGUCUGCUAAGUUUGGAGUGACAGUUGGUGGCUUAACUGCCAAAAGUGCUUCGAAAACUGACAGACUUGAGGGCUUCAGAGGGACACGGAAUUCCGGGUGGAGUGGUGAAAUGCGUAGAGAUCGGAAAGAACACCAACGGCGAAAGCACUCUGCUGGGCCGACACUGACACUGAGAGACGAAAGCUAGGGGAGCGAAUGGG
rnacentral:rRNA from 1 species